GAUGAUUUUGUAUUUUUAUUUCACUUAUUUCUUAUUUCAUUACCAUAUGCUAUAAUAGGAUGCAAGGAAUUAUCUCUUUUUUGUUUUUGCUAAGAUUUGCUUUGUGCCCUAAAUUAUGAUCUAUUUUAGAGAAAGUUCCAUGAGAAGUUCUACUGAGAAGACAGUGUUCUAAAGAUUUCUAUUAGGUUCUUUUGAUUAAUAGUAUUUUUAGUCCUGAAAUAUCUAAUGAUGAAAUAAAUGGGUUGAAAUUCUCUAGUAUUAUUGUAUUAUGCUAUAUUUAAUUCUUUUUUAUCAUACUCUUAUUUUAUUGGUAGGAAAACUAGGAAAGUUUAUAAAAUAAGAAAUGCAAAGCAUAAUGUAGUUAAAGACAAUAAAAUAGAAUUGGUGUCUUAAUUAGUAUUUUCCAUCUUUUUUAAAAAAAUAUUUUUAGUUGUAGUUGGACAUAAUACCUUUAUUUUAUUCAUUCAGUUUUUAUGUGGUGCUGAGGAUCAAACCCAAGGCCCACACAUACUGGACGAGCACUCCAUCGCUGAGCCACAACCCCAGCCCAGUAUUUUCCAUCUUUAAUUAGUAAAAAUUAUCUUCUUUAAAGUAUAAGAAAAAAUUACCCAUAUUAACACUACUGACAAUAAACUUCACUAAUUUAACACUAUAUCUCUCUAACCUUUUUGUAUUCAUUAGCACUUAAAAGCAUAAAAGUUGAUGGAUCUUUAUAUUUCUAAAACUAUUAACUAAAAUAGGUUUCCAAUUGGAAAAGAUAAUAACUAAUACUAUUUGGUAUUAAAUAGAAUUGAAUUCUUUAUACCUUCAUUUUAUUUAUUUAUUUUUAUGUGGUGCUAAGGAUAGAACCCAGUGUCUCACACAUCCUAGGAAAGUGCUCUACCAUUGAGCCACAACCCCAACCCCAACUCUAGAACUAUAUCCUAAUAAUCAAAUUAAAGACAUAUCAAGAAAACAAUGACAUCACUGAGGGUUGUGUCAGAUUGCCAUUUACUGUCUAAUCAGAUAUUCUUAAAUUACUAUUUGAGUUUUUAUAUUGAGAAGCAUUUGCUUUCUGUGUAUAGAUACACAUUGUUUGGGGCAGAAAUAUUUACAACCAUUGUAUCUUAUUGUUGGAUUAUUCCCUUAACCAAUAUGAAGAAACAUCUUUGUCUCUUCUGAUUAAUCUUGGCUUGAAGUAUACUUUUUCCUGAUAUGACAACAUAUUGCUUUGGUUGUCUGUUUGCAUGGAUUAUUUUUUUUCUACCCUUUCACCAUUGGUCUUUGGUGAAAGGGUAGAAAGUGAAGUGAAUUUCUUGUAAACAACAUAUGGUUGGGUAUUAUUUUUUAAUCCAAUAUUCCAGUCUAUGUCUUUGGAUUGCAGAAUUUAGACCAUUUACAUUCAAUGUUAUUAUAGAGAAAUUAUCUUUUUUUCCUGCCAUUUUUAUUUCUAAUAUUUAAUUCAGACUUUAUUCUCCUUCAGUUGACAAAGUGAGAUUCAUCCUUGUAUUAGUUUUCAUUUUCACUUUUUCAUUUCUUCUUCAUAAAUAUUUUAUUAUGUUUUGUGAUAUAGGAUUAGUGGUUACAAAUUAUUUGUUUCAAUUAAUCAUUGAAGGUUUUUAUUUCAUAUUCAAUUUUGAAGGAUAGUUUUGCUAGUUAUGGUAAUCUUGGUUAGCACUCAUUUUGUCAGGGCUUGUUAUAUAUUAUUGCAAACCCUCUUGUCUUUUUGGGUCUGGGUUGAGAAAUCAGUUAAAAUUUGAAUUGGCUUACCUCUAAAUGUGACCUGCCAUGUUUUCUCUUACAGCUUUUAAAAUUCUAACUUUAUCCUGCAUAUUAGACUUUCACAUUAAAAUGUGUCUUGGAGAGGAUUUAUUUUGUCCUUGCCUAUUUGGAAUUCUAUAUGCAUCUUGUAUUUGGAUUUCCAUCUUACUUGUAAGAUUUGGAAAAUUUUCUGAAAUUAUUUUCUUGAAAAGAUUGUGCAUUUCUUUAGUGUGUGUUUCAAAGCCUUUUUCAAUCCCAGUGAUUCUUAAAUAUGAUCUCUUGAUAUUAUCCUAGAUUUCUUGAAUAUUUGGUUCAUGAUCUCUUAAUAUCUUUUCUUCAUUGUUGCAUUUUUAAAAUUAUAUAAUUGGUCUUCAAAGUCGGAGAGUCCAUAUUCAAAAUGAUCUUAUUUAUUUAUGAUGCUUUCCAUUAAAUUUUUUUAAAGAGCAUUCUUUUUUUAAAAGAGAGAGAGAGAGAGAGAAUUUUUUAAUAUUUAUUUUUUAGUUUUCGGUGGACAUUUUAUGUGGUGCUGAGGAUCGAACCCAGUGCCCUGCACAUGCCAGGCGAGUGCGCUACCGCUUGAGCCACAUCCCCAGCCCAAGAGCAUUCUUUUUUAAUAUUUUGUUGUUGUUGUAGGUUGGACACAAUACCUUUAUUUAUUUUUAUGUUGUGCUGAGGAUUGAACCCAGUGCCUCAGAUGUGCAAGGCGUGUGCUCUACCUCUGAACCACAAUCCCAGCCCCUCCAUUAAAUUUUUAAUUUGAUUUAUCAAGCUGUUUAUUUAUCUGGUUCUUUUUAGAAUCUCUCUUUAUUGAAAUGAUGUUUCACUUCUUGUAUUUUCUAACAUCUUAUUUUAGCUCAUUGGACAUUCUAACUAUUAAUUUUCUAAAUUAUUCCUGACAUUUCCUUCACUGUGAUAUUAAUGUAGUCAGUUGUUGAACUGUUAUGGGGUAUUUAGGGAGAUUAGUUCUCUUGAUUUUUCAUAUUGCUUGCAUGACUACUCAUCUCUUUGGAUGAUUAUUGCUUCUUUUGUUAUACAAGGAACACUUCAGUGAUCUUCUUUCUCUUAAAAGCACCAGGGUGAGCAAAUAUCCAAGUACUAAUACUUUCACUCUGUGUGUCUUCUGCUGUUCCCAGUGUCAGCACUACUUUGAAAUAAAGCACUAAACCCUAUUUACUACGAUCUUUCAGAACAAAGUCUCAUACUAAUCAACUUUAGGACAAACAAAAAACUUAUUGGUAAUCUUCUCUAUCAUUCUUAAUAAAGGUAUAAGCUUGUAGUAAUAUCCAUAAUAGUUUGGAAAAAAAUAGUUAUUAAUGACAUUAAAAUUGCUAUUACAUUAUAUAGCAGCUGAAAAGGGAAGAAGAGAAAAAUUGGACAAAAGAAGAGAGAAAAAACAGAAAAGAAUAAUACACACCAAGAUAAAAAGAGGAAAAAGAUGAAUGGGGCGAUUUGAGGCGGUAGCAGGGAAUGUUAAAAAAAAUAGGGGCUUAGAAAUGCAAGUGUCACCUGAGCUAGGAAAACAAAGACAGAAUGAUUUGAAUUAAUGCUUGAAAGCAUUAAGUUGGUAAUGGUGGUACAUGCCUGUAAUUCCAAGUGACUUGGAAGGCUGAGGCAGGAGGAUCACAAAUUUAAGGCCAGUCUCAGCAAUUUAGCAAGGCACUAAGCAACUUAGUGAGACCCUGUCUCCAAAUAAAAAAAUAAAUAAAAAGGGCUGGGAAUGAGACUUAGUGGUUGAGUGCCCCUGGGUUCAAUCUCUGGUACCAACAAAACAAAACAUUAGAAUAAAUACAACCAAAUGAGUUGAAGACAUGUUAUCAAAUGCUAUAGUAACAAUUAUUGAUUCAAAAUAAGAGUAAUAUAUAUGUGACCAAAGUUGACAUUAGAGCUAUUUAUAGUAAACCAUGCCAAGGUGGAGAAAAUUCUUCUGAUGUCUUCUUGAUUUGCAUUUCAUCAUGAUUUGGGAUUUUUUAGAAGAAUAUUCAUCAAUCCUCAGCUUUGUAUCCACCCAGAAGUGCUCCCUUGAUUCCUAUGGACCUCCCACCAACUGAUUCUUAUAUGUUUAUCCAGUGGCCUGAAGCUGGAUGUUUGGAAGGUGCUAUUUUACAUCUGCUAACUAUUUCUAUUGUGUUCAGAAGCAUAGGAUACUGUCAACUCUGACUGCAGCAGAUCAUUGUGUACUAGCUUUCCUCCACAGGAUCCUCUUCAAAGUGGCAUAGAGCCUGGGGGCUGUCUGGAAGUAUGGGAUCUAUGGCUGUGGGCUCUCCAUGGGUAAUCUGCAAUUCAGAAGCUUCUCCUCUGACUGACACAGAUCACCAAGGCAUUGUCCCUGGGACCAGGAAAGGGACUCUACUGAUUCAUACCCCGACUACCUAUGGUUGUGAACCAUAGGCUCCACUUCUCUCCACUGGCUCAGCCAGAGACGGCUGUCCCACUUGUGUGUGAGCUCCCAGUGCCCAUGGCAGCAAAUUAGCCAUGAAUCAAGGCAGCCAUCCCCUCCACUGCUAGACAAAGGCAGCCAUCCUACCAGCACCUUAGCUCUCACUGCCUGCCACCAUGAAUUGCAGGUGUCCAUUCUACUCCUGUAUCUGCCUGAACUCCUGUGGAAUCUGUGUAGAGUGGCUGGGUUAUGCUAGCCCUUCCCAGGAAUGACCAGCUCUUGGGUCUUGGGUCUCCUUUACCCUAUUCCCUCUGUCUGUGGUUGGGGGAGGGGAUGAAGAUUUCAGUAACUAUUGGCUCCUAGUGAUCCCUCCACAAGUUCCCUCUAGAUGGAUUAUGGAGAUAUUCCACUUCAGAGGUGUACCUUCUGGGUUGUUGUUGUUGUUGCUGCUGCUACUGCUGCUGCUGCUGUUGCUGCUGCUAUCUAAGGUGGGAGAGAAGCUGUGUUGAUUUAAUUCCUUCUAGAAAGACUGGCAAGCUAUGGACUCCUCAAAAUGGCUGCUAUGCCUUGCAUAGCUUUCAAUCCACAAUUUGGAUUAAGCUCCUUGAUUUCCUUCACUGACUGCUGUUCUACUGCUUUUUAAUUUAGUCUACUUUUCUUUUCAGCUUUGUUAAGGAAGUGAGCUUAUGGGUUUUCCAUCUCCGUUUUUUUCUUUCUCUUUAUUGCCCCUCUCUCCCACCAUAUUCUGGUCUCGAUUUGGGAUUAAGGAACACUGUCCUUAUUUUCUGCUCUGAUAACCAAACCUCAAGUCUCUCCAAGUCUCAGACUCUCCAAUAUUGAGUCUUAGAACUUUUACUCUGUCACCCACCUCUCUAAUUCACUGUUCCUUUACUGAUUCCUCUCUGGAUUGUGAAGAUAUCAAGGGUCACUACUUAGCUUAGCCAUACCAUCUUCCUCUCCUACCAGUUUCUUAGGUUUUUUUUUUUAAAUCCUGCCAUUCAGUGUUCAAACUUUUAGAUAUUUUAGUGAGGGACUCAACUAAUGCAUGAAAAGUUUUAAAUUGUAAAAUGAUUAAACUUCCAAUUCUUGGAAUUUCAUGUAUAUUUAAUUGACCAAUAUACUUUAGCAAAUUUUCUGUGCAUUUAAAGAAAGAAAGAUGGUUUUAAAUGAUACUGAGGGAGACUUUGGGUAAAACUUUGACACCAACAUCUCAGAAAAAAAAAUCACUUUCUAUACUCCUUCAUUCCAAGCAAUGAAUGGUAUUUUCUUGUUAUAUAAGUUUUCGUGUACAUACCAAUGGUUAGUUUCUUAUAACCUUUUAAUAGUAAACAUUCAAUUGAGAAAGCAUUGUUCCUCAAUUUCCCUGCCUUUCUCUGUUCUUUAUAGAUGACAAAUGAUAUGAAAAUGCACAGAAUUCUUCCAGCAACAUCAUUGGAUUACUGAUUGUGUCCUUUUUAUAAAUUUCCUUCUUUAUAAAUAAUCAAAAGGACAAUUUUAAAAGUAAAUGUCAAUUUUUAGUAGACAUUUUUGUAGGUUAUUUUUAUUUUGUAAGUAAUUAGGAGUAAAAUUGGUUUUACGAUGUCUAUAAAUCCAAACAGUUUGAAGUAUUAAUCAUCUGGUGAGACAUCUAAUGAUUUUGUCUUAUUUAUUUCAGGGAGUUUUUACUUGUGCUUUUAUCAAUAACAUGGGGAAAAUAGUGGCAGAAUAAUGCCUCAGUAUACUUGGUAUUCAGACACACAGUGAAUCAUUCAGUCUUCCCAUGGAUACAUAAGUAUCUUGUCUUUAAAAGUAUUGGCUUUAUUCCCACAGGGCAAUGUAGACCAAGGUGAGCUAAUAAGGAAAAGUUUAAUUCCUUCUUUUUGAGAAGUAACAUGAAAAAGAGUUCUGACAGUAAUUCUGCUAAUUCAUCUUCAAAAGAAUCUAUUACCACAGAUUGAUGUGAGCACUCAAUCAUGGUAAGCAUUUUGUUCUGAAAAUAGUGACAUUUUUCCUAGGGAAUCAUAUCAAUCCAAUGACAUUGGACCUUGACUAUGUUAGGCAGCCAUGGGGCUGGUCAUUAACUAUGAUGCAGGGCUCCAUGAUUGAAGUAUGGGUCCAUGCAUCCUAGGGUGAUAAAAAGAUGAACACUCAUUAUCUGCCACAUACCUCAAGCUCAGGGUCCCUUUUAUUCAAUGUGCCUAGACCAAUGAUUACUUACAAAAACAAAUCUUGUUGUAAUCUGAACAAAAUGAGUGACCAAACCACUUCUGUGAGCUAAGGUUCAGCACAGGGACCAUGCUAGGCAGACAUGUAGGUGUAUUUCUGGUAUUCAAGCAGUAUAAGCCACUGGGACUGAGGUAUUUGAAAGCUAUCCUGAUUGCAUCUGUUGGAAGAAAUGGAUUGGAUAGUUAUCUAUCAAUAUUUGCUUGUGGGGUAAAAGUGGAAACUCAUUGAUUGUUUGGCUUAUAGCAUCCAUACACUAUAGUAAACAGAUACUUGAAAACAACACAUAAGUCAUGAGACCCUCUCCUUGAGCUAGCCACACAUUUGAACUGCUAUAUUCUGGUUGUUAAUGGGUCUGAGGAUGAAAAUAUAGUCAGAAUCCAAAGACAUAAUUAUGAUUUUUUAAAUUCUAAUUUUCUAUUAAGUGAAUCAGUUACAUGGUAGUUGAAGAAUAGGUACUUUACUCUGUGGAACCGUCACAAUAUAUUUUAAUUUGGUGCCAACCCAGUCACUACAAUUGGAUAGUUCUUUUUAUUUAUUUCGUUUACAUUUUCUAUAAGCUAAGGAACCAAUUUCAGUGUCAGUUUUAGUGCUGACAUCAACCACAGGCCACAUUAAAUAGUUUUAGCUAUGAUUAUAAUUUACAUUGUUGUGUUUUUAAAUAGAUUUUAUUCUCUACUUUCCUAUAGCCUAUCAAUAUUUUCUAUUGCAUUGAAAGAGAUAGUCUAAUUAUAAUAACUUAUUUGAAAUAGAUGUGCUAGGGAACCUUAAAAAUGUAUAUUUCCCGAAAUAUUAUUUUUAUACUCAUGAUCAAAGAUGUGAUAUUUUGUCAUGCAUGUGGCCCAAUGCCUUAGGUGAAUUUUUAUAAUUGCUUAUAAUUAAAUUGAUUAACACAGUUUUGUUUCACAACUUCCUUCAUUUCCCCUGUACUUUGUAGAUUAAGUGCUAGAAUUCCCUGAAAUAUCAUUGCAAUACCAGUGAAAUACUGAUUUUUUUAUGACCUGUGUUAGCUUCCUAUGAAGAAUCAACAUAAUAUAUUCCUGAGGAAACAUCCAAUUUUAGUAAAUUUAUUUUUGUGAAUAUAUUUUAAGUAAUCAAGAAUUAAAUAGGUUUACAAAGAGUUUUUUAAUUAAAAUAUUAAAUAUUAAUAGUUUGAUAAUUUAUCUCAGCCUUCAGUCUUCUUAAUUUUAAUUAUUCUCUACUUUUGUCUACUUUCUAUAGCAUCUGAAGCAUUCUACAGAAAUUAUAAAUUAGUGUAUUUUGUAUAGGUAAAUAGUGAUAACUGGUGUCUUGUGCAGUAUAAAAACUGGACAUCUCUGCUUCUCGUAUUCCCAGAUUAUUAACAAUGACAACAUGGACCAAGUACUAGGUUUCAAAUAAGAAGAUUUAUUCCUUCCCUUGUCAUCACAUAAAGAAAAAAUACUGGGAAUUAUUCAGCCUCUCUUUCUUAAGGGCCUAUGGGAAUUCUCAUAUGGCAAUUGUUUUGUCCUAAAAAUACUGACAUUCUUCUUAGGGAAACACAAUAUUCCAAUGACACUAGACCCUGGCUAUGCUAGGUGACUAUGUGACUUGUCAUUGACUGGGAUGUUGGUCUGCAUAAUUGAAGAGUGUAAUUAAGAGUAUCCCAAGGUGACAAAAACCUGGGUGAUCAGAAACUGCCACAUACCUCAGGCUCAGGGUUCCUUUUAUUCAAUGUGCCUGGACCAAUGAUGACUUGCAGAAAUGAAUCUCAUUGGAAUCUGGAUAAAAUGAGUGACCAAACCACUUCUGUGAGUUGAGGUCCAGCAAGGGGACCCUGCUAGUCAGACAUGUGGAGGGAGUUUAAGUAGUCAGCAGCUGGGUAUGAAACUAACCUGUUCACAGCAAAUGAAUUGUAUAUAGGUCUAUAAAUACCCAAUUAUAGGAUGACACAGAUUUUUUUAAGGGCUUACCUGGUGACAUCUAUAUACCUAGUAAAUAGACUCUAGAGAAACAGGACUUGACUGGUGAGAUUCAUAGGAAAUUAUUAUUUCUGUCCUUGGGUUAUCUGACAUUUAUCUAAGCUACCUAAGUCUUCUAGCUGAUAGUUUGUCUUUAGAGUAUAAUGAGAUGACCAAUGUCCAAAGAUAUUGAAGAUAUUUUAUUUUUUAUUUUCUAUACUAAAAAAUUUGCAUGGAAAUUUAAGAAAGGAUACUACUAUAUAUGGAAUCAACUAGUGGAUUUUAUUCAUUUAUUUAUUUGCCAAUUUAGGUUUUGGACAAGUUUGUUUUCACUUUUUCCUAUAAAAAAGGGAAUGAUUUUGUAUAUUAGCACAGCCUUCAAAUAUAUGCUUCAUUAAAUAUCUUAGAUGUGAAAAGGUUAUGUUCAUUUUUACAUGAAUGUAUUGUACACAUAUACCUGUCCUCAGUAUUUUCCACUGUAUUGAAAGAGAUAUUCUCAUUAUAAUAAAUAAUUUGAAGUGGAUGGAUAUGCCAGGGAAAUUUUGAUAUUAACAUUUUAUAAAAUAUUAUUUUACAUAGUUGUGACCAAAGAUGCUGCAAGCAAGUUUAGUUGUGUUUGUCAUACAGUUGGUCCAAUGAAUGUCUUGUGUGAAUUCUUAAAAUUAAUUGUAAUUCAGUAAUCUAUUAGCAUUUUUUUCACAGCUUCCCUAAUUCCCCUGUACUUUUGUAAAUUAGGCAUGAUAGAAUCCAUGGAAUCCCACCACUGGAAGAGUCACAUACUAAAAUUGUUACCUACCAUCUCCUUUAUCUGUAAAUGAUGAAAACAAUAUACCCCUGAGGUAACAACAAAUUUUUAGUAAAUUCUUGUGAGGUUUGGUAUAAUUUUUUUAAAUUAUCGAAAAUUUAAUUUUGUGAACAGUAUGUUCAUACAAACAGCCUCAAGCAUUAUUAAAGUUGUGCUGAGACAUCAUUAUUUUUAAGAUUUUGUGCUUUUUUUUUUUACUUUGAAUAACAUCUAAUCCAUUUUAUAGAGACUGUAAAUUAGUAUAUUUAUGUGGAAGUUAAUAGGGAAAUUGCCUAUCCCAUGCAAAUGUGAAAAAAAUAAUCUGUAUACUUUUCAUAUUCCUAUAUAUAAUCUCUCCCUAUAGGUCAAUGUGGACCAAGAUCUGCAGUUCAUCUGGAUAAAUUUAUUUCUUCAUUUGUGUUGUCAUGUGAAGGAAAGUAUUAGGAAUCAUUCAGUCUCUCAUCCUCAAGAGCAAGUGGUAUUUAUCACAAAAUCAACACGAGUAGAUUGUAUGUCAACGUUUAUUUCUUCCUCUUGCAAGGUGACAUGGAAGAGAGUUUGAGAAGAAUUCAGCUUAAUUAUUCUCAAGUGCUUCUAUUCUCAUAGUUUGAUGUGGUAAUUUGCUCAUGGAUAUAUUCUUUACUCUGCAUCCUGGAGCAUCUUUCCCUCAAGACCAAAGAAGACUGUCAUUAGAAGUUUAUCACCUCUGAUCAACACGAGUAGAUUGUAUGUCAACGUUUAUUUCUUCCUCUUGCAAGGUGACAUGGAAGAGAGUUUGAGAAGAAUUCAGCUUAAUUAUUCUCAAGUGCUUCUAUUCUCAUAGUUUGAUGUGGUAAUUUGCUCAUGUAGGUGGAGUUGUCUAUUCCAAGCUUGAGUCUCUUCCCUCAGUUUGGUGUUGGUAACCAGUGAGAGAAGAUUAGAGCUCACAGUCUCUUGCCUGGAGCUUCCCUAAUCUUGAUCUAUCUGCUCUAUCUGCAUUGCUCCCAGUUUUUACCCCUCCACUCUCUUGCUUAUCAGAUCUCUGCUGUGGGACCUCUUGCUGUCCCCAUUGGAUUGUACCAGCUUAAGAGUCGCACAUGUGCUCAAAUUGUGGGCUUUGGGACCAGAGACUGGAGUCUUAAAGGAAUACAGAGGCUCUGAGUUCUGCUCAGUGUUCUCAGCUUUGGUGGAUUCUGCAAAAAUCUGCCGUAUGAGGUCCUGUCACACUCUGAGGUGUUGUAUUCUGACAAGACUGGAAGUGUUUUUGGAAUUGCAUGGAAUUAUCAUCAUCAUCCCAAAGAAGAGCUAAUUUGUCAUUCUUAUCUGUUCCAUUUUGGGGACAGAACAAAACUUUACAUUCCAAAGAUUGGCAUGCUACCCAAAACUGAAUUUUAUAUUAAAGAGUUUAUUUAAUCUUCUUGAGAGCUGAUGUGAAGCAAAGUAUUAAGAAUAAUUUUGCUAACCCAUCAUCAGGAGCCAGUUGGAAUUCUCAUAAGAAUUUUGGCACAUUCUCAAUCUUCCUAAUGAUUCCUUCUCUGGAAACUAGGCAUGGAGAGUGAUGGAGAUGCUCUUCCUUACUGGUGUGGCAGAGAGAAGCUUGACACUGCUGAGAGAUAUAAUUGCCUAAGUCCCACUGAGUCUGUAGCUGUGGGCCUGGUGAGCUUUACUCUGAAAGGAGGAUGGGGAGUAUCUCACAGUGAGAGGGCCCAGUGUCUGCAUUAUUCACUCUAUGCAUGCUACACAACCAUUCUAAUCACAUGUAUAUACUUUACCUGGGUGUGUCCUCCCUGCAUUGCUCUGACCACUCUAAACUGAAUGGGGUGCAACAUACAUAACCUUGGGCAGCCUCUGCAAAUUUCUAGGUUUCUGUACUCAAACAUGUUAAAUGCUACAAUCCAUAUUUAGACAGUUGUUCUUUCUUUUCCCUGCCAUAGCUUUUCAUGACUACCUUCUUCCCAAUCCAUUGAAUCACCUUUGAAGGUUAAAUGAUUCUAUGGUUGAAUUAAAUUGAUAUGCUAUUCACCAGUUCACCAUUUUUUGUAGUCUAAGUAUAUUCAUUUAGUCUGACUGCACAUUUGUCUGGCAGAAAGUAUUGGGCACAAUGUUCCCUGAUAGAGGUUGGAAGCUAAUACAAUGACCAUAGUACCCAUUCUAGAAGAGUACUACAUUAGCUAAUUUAAUAUGCAAUAUAUAACUGAACCCUACUGUGCCUCAUAGACCAAUGAACAUGUAUGCUUCUAUACCUCUCCUCUUUCAUUGUUUUUAUUCCUACAGGUCAACAAGGACAAAGUACUGGGCCUUACAUUAAAAUCCAUUCUUUCACCAUGAGAUGUGAAAUAAAGAAAUUUGUGGGAAAUGAUUUCUGCCAUCCUGUCUUUGGGGGCCAGUGGGAAUUCUCAUGAACAGAGAUGAUAUUGGGCCAAAAUGAGAUGUAUGACAGAGAAUGCACCUGGGACUUCAACAGUGUAUUUUGUAGGGUAGCAUGUGAUAUACUCCCCAAGGACUUGUGACAAUAAACCCCAAAAUGGAAGGGCAGUUGUUCAUGCCUGUCUUCUUAAUUCUCAAAUGUCAUUUUCAGAGUAUGAGCUGACAACUUACUUCCAAAGUCUCCAUUCCUACCUAUGGACUCUUGGACACCCUCACAGAAGAGAACUUUUUUGGGAAUUCUUCUGGGAGUGAAUGGCACCAUUAAAUUUCCAAAAGAAGGCUCCUCCAACAAAGAGCUCUUCACCUGAAUAUUUUGCAAGAGACACACUCUGGAGGUGAUGACCCCAAAGACAAGGCUAGAAGAAUCUUAUUUCAGGUGAAGGAAGAAACAUUCAUCAUGGUUUCCAUAUUUUGGCUUUGCUCUGUGUCUGAGAUGUGUACAGAAAAUAGAUGAGGAUGAUCCCAAGAAAGAAGAUGGUUCAGGGGCCACAGCAGAGAUUUCUGAGUUCUGUGGUUUGAAAUACUACCUAGGUCAUGCUCCCGACAGAAAGAACGCCUUGAUCCUCCUGGCAGCAGCCUAGCCCUGACUUUGCCAAUCCUCAAGGCCCCUUGGCACACUGACCUGUCGUAUCCAUCUUGUGAGAGAAGCAAAGCAGAUGGAUGCCUCUGACAGGCCAGGCACAGCUUGCCCUUCUACAGUCAAAUUCUUCCUUACCUGUAACUACGUUUAAUGGACUGUUUUAUCCUUGGAGUGAUUAUCUGAACUAUAAGGACUACUGAGUAAGAACCUGCUUUGUCAACUCCUGCCACUCAGGUAUGCUGCAGUGAAUCUAAUGAGUCUCCUGUCCCUUUGAAGCAUGGUUUCAGGAUGCCAUUCUGGUAAUGAAGACCAUUUUUGGCUUGUUGACACCAGUACAGCUGACACAUCCAAGUACCUGUCUUGUUUCCUGUCAACUUCAAUCAUUUUUAACAAUACCAUUAUAGUAAAAGCUAGAACAAGUUAUUGACUUCAGAGAAAAGAGUCUCAUGAGAUAGAAGAGCUAGAAUCGGAUCUUCCACUUCAGAAAUAGGGGAUUGAAUGGGAUAUUACAGAGAGGUAGACAAUAUGGUAGCAAAGGCAUUUGCCAGAAGCAGACAGAACUGGAAACCUCUACCCUGAAAUUAACUGGAAAUGCUUACUUAUAUACUAGUAGAAGUACAUGCUAAUAUGUAUGUAUUUGCCAUACGGAUUUCAAUAAAAGUGUACCAUUUCACAUCACCAGGAGUAACAGGUAAGUUAUAACCAAUAUACAGGGGAAAACAAUGCACAUAAAUAUUUCAUUUGGGAAAUAAAUCAUACUAUAAACAUUGAUGAUUAUAUUACAAAUAUAGUUCUAAUUUUGCAGCUGAGAAAUUGCAAGUUUGCUUAUUUGGUAAGUAAUAUUUAGAGACAAAAGUCCUCUUAAGAAUUGAGUACCUCACCUAAUCAGAACAGAGUCCCUGGUAUAGCCACCAUCAUAUUCUGUAGUUUCUUCUAGUGCUUGGAAAUCUAGAUUCUGCAAAUUCAAGAAAAUAUGUCUUAAUGUCUUCUACAUUACAACAUUAAAACAAUACGUGAUGCUUUAAAACAAUUUUUGUGGGGGCAGACAUUUGCUUUCUUACCCGGCUUCCACAUAUGAGCAAUUCAAUUUCUUCUGGUCUGAAUAAAUACUUUAAGGGAGAUUCAUUGGUCACCAUAUGAAAACCUCUGCGAAAAGCCUUGAACUGUUUUUCUACUGAUUUGUUGAGAAUGUAGUCAGAAUAGAGAUUGACAAAUUCCUGCCGAAAACAUUAACCACAAGAAUGUCUUAUAAUAUGUUAUUAAAAAAAAAAAAAACCUAAUUUGUGGGCAAAUCAUUCAAGAACACUUUUCAAAAUUAAAAUUUUAUACAAAGGAAAAUAUCUUACAAUUUCAUAAUUCUCUACAAUAAUCAAUAUUAAGCUGUAAAAAGUUUAUGUGUAUAAAAUGGUUAUAUAUGUUUCAAUUUUCAUAGUAUUUUAAACAAGACUGAAUAUAAAAGCUGAGGCCUCAAAUGGGCAUGGUGGCACACACAUGUAAACCCAGUGGCUUGGAAGCUGAGGCAGAAGGAUUGAGAGUUCAAAGCCAGCCUCAGCAAAAGCAAGGUGCUAAGCAACCCAGUUGAGACCCUGUCUCUAAAUAAAAUACAAAAUAGGGCUGGGGUUGUGGCUCAGUGGUUGAGCGCCCCUAAAGUUCAAUCCCUGGUAUCAAAAAGUAAAAAAGCUGAGGCCUUAAUAUAAUGUUUUAGGUUCCCUUACAUUUAAACCGUGUGUACAUUUAUAAUAGUCAAAACUUUUAAUAGAGUACAAUGUACUAAAUUUGAGCAAACCAGAAAGUCUCAUGCUAUCUAUUACAGAAUAUUGGUAAGCCACCUACGCAUCUAGUUCAUAAAAAAUCUGGUGUUUUGCUUGAUGCCUAAGCUACAACACUGAAUCAUAAAAGGAACUUUAUAUCCUAACUUAAUAAGUGUAAUAUUUUAAUAUAAGCACAUGUCCUUAUAGGUAUACUACAAAUGUAUAUAAUGUUCCUGCUACUUGUUUUCAGACAAAUACGUUUUGGUCAACAGAAAUCCAAAUCUGAUGUAAAGAAUGCUUUAGAAGUACAAUUACAUACCAAAUGAGAAAUACACAUACACAUUAAAUGCAAUUAUCAUUUUUUUGUGUGUGGUAAAAACUUUAAUCACAAGGUCCUAUUUGCUUCUUAAGUUUAAGGUAGAAAAACCCUGUUUCUUGUUUUAUACUAUAGCCACAUUUAGGUACUCAUUCUCUCCUACUAAAUGUCCUCUUAUUAAGGAAUUUAGUACUCAACUGUGUGCUCACACACCAGAUUAAAUCCAAGUUUUUGAAAACUGUAGCUCUACCAUUUGCAUGAAUUUGGGUACUUAAUUUCUUUGUUCUUGGUUCCAACUCUAUUAUACUUCUUUAAAAAUCACAAGCAUACAGGUUUUGAAAUUGUUAUCAAAGAGACAAAAACAAUGACAAUAUAAAAACAUUCAUUACCUUCCUGUUUUCAUUUGUAAUUGGAAUUUUAUCACCAUUUUCUUUUAGAUCAUACAUCAUUGGGUUACCAAAAAGAUCUGUCUGUGAUAUCUGGAAAGUGAUCAUCAUAUCAUCUUCCACAUUUCCUUCAUAUUCUAGUUUAUGUGAAACUCCAGCCAUCAUGUCAUUUUCAAACUAUCCCAGGAAUAACUGCAACAACAACAUAUACAACUUAAAAGCACUUUACACAUUGCAACCAUUUAAUCUUCACAACAACUUCAUCAGGUAGGUAAUAUUAUUUAACUUCAAUUACAGAUGGUUAACUUAAUGAAAGGUUAAAAACUUGAUCAAGACAAGUUAGUAAGUCAUAAAGAAAGAGAUUCUAAUCCAGCAACACGCUCUGAAUCAUUGUGCUUCACAGCCUCUCCAUAAUGUGUCUUUUAUUUUCUGGCUUUCCAUAUUUUCUAUUGUUUUACAAUGAAUGCUUUAAAAAAUAGUUGUCAACUAAAUUUCUCAGAUGUAAAUUUCCAAUUAUCAAUUUUAGAGUAUCAUUCUCAGAUAUAUAAGUCAUUUUGUAAAAUAUUUUAUCAUUUAAAGUUGCAUGGGUAGCCUUUUUUAAAAAAAAUUAACUUUAAAUUAUAGUACAGAUAAAGAAAGUAAAAUUUCAAAAUAAUCAUUUUGACAAUGGUCAUUGUUACAUAGAGGCUGCAUUUAUUCUUCCUCUUUCAUAAAAAUAACAACCUUGAAUACUUUUGUUUAGUUAAUGAGAGAAUUAUGUAAGAACUGCAGUAGAGGAUAUAUUUUAUACUUAAAUAUAAUAGAGACCAUGGGGACGGGUGAUAAACAAAACAGACUGGGUAUAACGAACAACAUGAACCUCUUUCUUAUAUAACUUCCUCUUCUUACCAAGACUUUUUAUUUCACCAAUUGUUGAUACUUUCUAAACAUUUAAUUAGGCAUGAUGACUAAAUUCUAGGGGUCAUUUUAAAAAAACUGAUCCAACAUGAAAGCAUUCCCAAAACACCUAGGUAUGUUGACAUUUCAAUAUAAAAAUAUUGUAUUACCAGAUUUAUAAUAAUCAAAAGGAAAGCCCUUUACUUAAAAACUUUAAUAGCCUGGGCUAUUAAAUAAAAUCCAACCUUAUCCAUAACUGAAAAAUGAUUCCUUAAUGGUAUGAAUAUUUAAGGAGUAAUGCUCACAUAAACUCAGCCUAAUAUUUAAUAAUACUUACAUUCUCUAAGGAAUCUAGCUUAUACUAUUUCUGCCCAUUAGUUUCUAUGGACAGAAGUUUGGUGGUGAAUAACCUUAUACUAUUGAUUAGAAAGCAAUUCUCAGAUUAUUCAGAUAUAUUUAAUUUUUUCACGUUCUCUAUAAGCAAAUGAAGAACAGCUUAUUAUCACUUAAAUAGAAAAUUGAAAAGUUAGUGUAAAAGCCACAUCACAUAAUUACAUUUGUCCAUGAGACCUGGAUUUCUGAGUCUACUUCUAAUUCUGCCAUUCAUUUCUGUAGGUAAAAAUGUCUCUAGAUUUCAUUUUCUUCUCUCGUAAUACUAAGGAAUUUGUCAAGUUUCACUCUUUUAAAUUAUUACAUGAUGCUGACUACUUCGUUCUUUCAUUAAGAAAUUAGUUAGAGGAUAUAAACCAAGCAUAAAAUUCUUCAUUUCAGUUAGAACAAAUCCUAAGAAACAACAAAAAAAGGGGGAGGAAGAAAAUAAAGACUGCCAUCUGCUUAGUGUGAGCAUUCAAGAGCCCCUUAGAAGUCUCAGUGAGCUCUAUUUCCUUGUGUCUAUUUCUUAUCAGCGUGCCCAACACAGAGGAUUAGUGAAAUGAAAUGGUUUUAUGGACAAGUAAAAAUCAAGUAGAGGUAUCAUCUAAGUGAAUCCCAAUUUAUAAUAAGUCAAAUCAUAUUGAGUUUGAUAAAAUAAGCAGAACUCACUAAAAUACACAUAUAUUUGUUAGUGCAACUACAAAGCUAAUAGUUAUUUUGACGCUUGCUUAGGAGAAGGCUUUAAAAACUGAAAUGGCUAUUUCCUCAAAAUCCUUAAAGAUAAAUUUAAAACACAGAGUGAAGUGAGUAUCAAGGACCUAAACUUUUACUGGAUCUUAGCAUUACUCUAAAAGGGAAAAAGGGGCUGGGAAUAAGGAAGAAAAUAAGGCUGGAUAGAUAUUUGAGCAGAAGACAAGUAGGGGAGACAGAUAAUUUUGUUUAACCCUCAAUGGACUCUUAAAAGACAGUAAAUCAUUUCUUUUUUCAGGUCAGGCAUAACUUUUGCUGAAAUCAGCUGAAGGGACAUGUCACAUAUAGUGUGUAGUUUCAGCAUUUCAAUCUCUGCUCCAACAACGAAUAUGCAUAUAAACCUCAAAGUGCUUUUCAUAAGAUUUCAUUUUCAUUCUUACAAAAUGUCCUACCCACCCUGUUGAACUACGCAAAAUAAGUUGCUGGCUGCUUGAUGACUAGUUACUAAAUGUAUUAAUUAUUAAUGUUGCUCAAAGCUACAUAAAUAAGAGGCAAAAAGCAAGCAAUAGUAAUCUCUUCAGGCAGAUAAAAAGCCCCUUUCUGUCUCCACCAAAAAGCUGUUUUGACUUUCUUGAGAAUGCAGAAUCUUUCUUCAACACUAUAAACAUUUGACAUUAUUAAAAACCAGUAACAGAAAAGAGGCACAAACUCUGAAGUUCAUUAAGGUUGAAUUCUGAGAUGUAACAAAAUUUUCCACUGGUUGAAAGUUUCAUGAAUCCUCAGAGUUAGACAAAUCUAUUCUAAAAAUAAAAUACAUUUUAACUACUUAUCACUGUAUCGUAGUUGUUUAUACUAUGGUUUCUUAUUCUGUUAGUACAGAAGGUUGACUAAUUUUAGCUGACAUUAAAUUUUACUUCAAGUUAAUGAAAAAACUAUUAACAACAUGGAUACCAAAUGCUAUGAAUACAAUAAAAGCAUACUAAAGCACACUAACAAAUGUAAUUUUGUAAAAUGUGACUGGCAAUUGAUUUCUGUCUUCUGGUGAAACCAACAUUCUUAAAGUAGUGACACUAAAAUUCUUAUUCUGUGGAGGAAAAGUAGUAGUAACUAGAGGCAAUCCCAUCUGAAAAAAAACAGAAUUAGAAGAUGGGUACCCAAGCUCCCAGUAUUUUCCCACCUUAAUCUCUCUGAAUUUGGCUGAUGAUACAGGUACAAUCAAUAAAUUCUUAGAAUAGCUGCUCUUUUCCAAGAUUAUUUCAAGCCCCAAAGUUGUCCCUAUAAAUAUUUAAGGGAGAAAAACUACCACAACCACAGUGUCAUACAGGGACAUUUUGAAUGGCUUAAUAGAACUCCAAUACACACCAACUUGCCCUGGUCAUUUUAUCAAACUUACCAUAAUACAAUGAUGCACAUCUAAAUUCUACAUGAUGGAAUUUUUGGGGUACCACUUACAACUUUAUGGUAUAAAUUUACUGUACUACGUCUCCCAGUUAAGAAUUCAUAUUCAUACUUAAUAUUGAUAUCUCCACAUUUUCCUUGUUCCUAUGUCUCAGUCUUUCCCUAAUAAUCUCUUCUCUGAAAGAAAACUCUGAAGAAACUCUAGGGAUUAGUUUUCAAGAUUUAGAAAAUCCAUUCUUUUUCAAAUAGAGAGUACUCAUUAGGUAAGACAAUAAAAUGUAGAUACACUUAUAAACUUGGUCAGGAAUAACAAAAAUACUUAAAACUUAAAAUCAGAAAUAUCAAUGUCUAUAUGAUACUAAAUGAAUUCACUGAACUGCAUUACAAUAUCCCAUUAGGUUUCUUAUUUAGUGCUGAUUUUAAACAGCAAACUUACCCGA